rnacentral:rRNA from 1 species
CUUGCGGCGUGCCUAACACAUGCAAGUCGAGCGAUGAAGUUCCUUUCGGAACGGAUUAUCGGCGGACGGGUGAGUAACACGUGGGCAACCUGCCUUAUAGAGGGGAAUAGCCUUCCCAAAGGAAGAUUAAUACCCCAUAAGAUUGUAACUUCUCAUGACGCCGCUAUUACAGGAGCAAUCCCCUAUAAGAUGGGCCCGCGGCGCAUUAUCUAGUUGGUGAGGUAACGGCUCACCACGGCGACAAUGCGUAGCCGACCUGAGAGGGUGAUCGGCCACAUUGGGACUGAGACACGGCCCACACUCCUACGGGAGGCAGCAGUGGGGAAUAUUGCGCAAUGGGGGAAACCCUGAUGCACCAACGCCGCGUGAGUGAUGACGGCCUUCGGGUUGUAAAGCUCUGUCUUUGGGGACAAUAAUGACGGUACCCCCGGAGGAAGCCACGGCUAACUACGUGCCACCAGCCGCGGUAAUACGUAGGUGGCAAGCGUUGUCCGGAUUUACUGGGCGUAAAGGGAGCGUAUGCGGAUUUUUAAGUGGGAUGUGAAAUACCCGGGCUCAACCUGUGUGCUGCAUUCCCAACUGUAAAUCUAGAGUGCGGGAGGGGAAAGUGGAAUUCCUAGUGUAUCGGUGAAAUGCGUAGAGAUUAUGAAAAACACCAGUGGCGAAAGCGACUUUCUGGACUGUGACUGACACUGAGGCUCUAAAGCGUGGGGAGCAAACAGGAUUAGAUACUUGGGUAGUACUCGCCGUAAACGAUGAAUACUAGGUGUAGUGGUUGUCAUGACAUCUGUGCCCCCCCCUAAUGCAUUAAGUAUUCUGCCUGGGGAGUACGGUGGCAAGAUUAAAACUCAAAGGAAUUGACGGGGGCCCGCACAAGUAGCGGAGCAUGUGGUUUAAUUUGAAGCAACGCGAAGAACCUUACCUAGACUUGACAUCUCCUGAAUUGCCAUGUAAUGUGGGAAGUCCCUUCGGGGACAGGAAGACAGGUGGUGCAUGGUUGUCGUCAGCUCGUGUCGUGAGAUGUUGGGUUAAGUCUCGCAACGAGCGCAACCCUUUUUGUUAGUUGUUACCAUUUAGUUGAGCACUCUAGCGAGACUGCCCGGGUUAACCGGGAGGAAGGUGGGGAGGACGUCAAAUCAUCAUGCCCCUUAUGUGUAGGGGUACACACGUGUUACAAUGGCCGGUACAACGAGAUGCAAUACCGUGAGGUGGAGCAAAACUAUAAAACCGGUGUCAGUUCGGAUUGUAGGGUGAAACUCUCGUACAUGAAGCUGGAGUUAUUAGUAAUCGCGAAUCAGAAUGUGGCGGUGAAUACGUUCCCGGGCCUUGUACACACCGCCCGUCACACCAUGAGAGUUGGCAAUACCCAAAGUUGGUGAUAUAACCCGUAAGGGAGGAAGCCACCUAAGGUAGGGUCAGCGAUUG